rnacentral:rRNA from 1 species
GACGCUGGCGGCGUGCCUAACACAUGCAAGUCGAGCGGGGUCCAUCCGGUAGCAAUACCGGGGAAGACCUAGCGGCGAACGGGUGAGUAACACGUGAGAAACCUGCCCCGAAGUCUGGGAUAACCCGAGGAAACUCGAGCUAAUACCGGAUGUCUUCUUCUGAUCGCAUGGUCGGAUGAAGAAAGAUUUAUCGCUUCGGGAGGGUCUCGCGGCCUAUCAGCUAGUUGCGGGGUAACGGCCCACCAAGGCGUCGACGGGUAGCUGGUCUGAGAGGACGAUCAGCCACACUGGGACUGAGACACGGCCCAGACUCCUACGGGAGGCAGCAGUGGGGAAUAUUGCGCAAUGGGCGAAAGCCUGACGCAGCAACGCCGCGUGCGGGAUGAAGGCCUUCGGGUUGUAAACCGCUUUCAGUGGGGACGAAUUCAGACGGUACCCACAGAAGAAGCCCCGGCCAACUACGUG